UACGUAGGGUGCAAGCGUUGUCCGGAAUUAUUGGGCGUAAAGAGCUCGUAGGCGGUUUGUCGCGUCGAAUGUGAAAACCCGGGGCUCAACCCCGGGCCUGCAUUCGAUACGGGCAGACUAGAGUUCGGUAGGGGGAGUCUGGAAUUCCUGGUGUAGCGGUGAAAUGCGCAGAUACAGGAGGAACACCGAUGGCGAAGGCAGGUCUCUGGGCAUUAACUGACGCUGAGGAGCGAAAGCAUGGGGGAGCGAACAGG
rnacentral:rRNA from 1 species